rnacentral:rRNA from 1 species
AUUGAACGCUGGCGGCAGGCCUAACACAUGCAAGUCGAACGGUAACACGGAUCAUCUUGCUGAUUCGCUGACGAGUGGCGGGCGGGUGAGUAAUGUCUGGCAUACUCCCUGAUUGAGGGGGAUAACUACUGGAAACGGUUGCUAAUACCGCAUAACGUCGCAAGACCAAAGAGGGGGACCUUCGUGCCUCUUGCCAUCGUGUAUGCCCAGAUGGGAUUAGCUAGUAGGUGGGGUAACGUCUCACCUCGGCGAGGAUCCCUAGCUGGUCUGAGAGGAUGACAAGCCACACUGGAACGGAGACACGGUCCAGACUCCUACGGGAGGGAGCAGUGGGGAAUAUUGGACAAUGGGCGCAAGCCUGAUGCAGCCAUGCCGCGUGUAUGAAGAAGGCCUUCGGGUUGUAAAGUACUUUCAGCGGGGAGGAAGGGAGUAAAGUUAAUACCUUGGCUCAUUGACGUUACCCGCAGAAGAAGCACCGGCUAACUCCGUG